AUUGAACGCUGGCGGCAGGCCUAACACAUGCAAGUCGAGCGAGCGGCGGACGGGUGAGUAAUGUAUAGGGACUGCUCGAUAGAGGUGGAUAACUACUGGAAACGGUAGCUAAGACCGCAUACUAUCGGAUAACCCAUAUGGGGUUAGCUAGUAGGUGAGGUAAUGGCUCACCUAGGCGACGGUCCCUAGCUGGUCUGAGAGGAUGAUCAGCCACACUGGGACUGAGACACGGCCCAGACUCCUACGGAGGCAGCAGUGGGGAAUAUUGCACAAUGGGCGCAAGCCUGAUGCAGCCAUGCCGCGUGUAUGAAGAAGGCCCUAGGGUUGUAAAGUACUUUCAGUAGGGAGGCGUUACCGACAGAAGAAGCACCGGCUAACUCCGUGCCAGCAGCCGCGGUAAUAC
rnacentral:rRNA from 1 species